rnacentral:rRNA from 1 species
AUUGAACGCUGGCGGCGUGCUUAACACAUGCAAGUCGAUCGGUAACGCGGGGGCAACCCUGGCGACGAGAGGCGGACGGGUGAGGAACGCUUGGGAAUCUGCCUAUCAGCGGGGGACAACACGGGGAAACUCGUGUUAAUACCGCAUAUUCUGUGAGCAGGAAAGCAGGGGAUCGCAAGACCUUGCGCUGAUUGAGCGGCCGAUGUCAGAUUAGCUAGUUGGUGAGGUAAAGGCUCACCAAGGCGACGAUCUGUAGCGGGUCUGAGAGGAUGAUCCGCCACACUGGAACUGAGACACGGUCCAGACUCCUACGGGAGGCAGCAGUGGGGAAUUUUGGACAAUGGGGGCAACCCUGAUCCAGCCAUGCCGCGUGAGUGAAGAAGGCCUUCGGGUUGUAAAGUACUUUCAGCGGGGAGGAAGGCGGUGAAGUUAAUAGCUUCACCGAUUGACGUUACCCGCAGAAGAAGCACCGGCUAACUCCGUGCCAGCAGCCGCCGUAAAAC